rnacentral:rRNA from 1 species
AUUGAACGCUGGCGGCAGGCCUAACACAUGCAAGUCGAGCGGAUGAAGGGAGCUUGCUCCUGGAUUCAGCGGCGGACGGGUGAGUAAUGCCUAGGAAUCUGCCUGGUAGUGGGGGAUAACGUCCGUAAACGGGCGCUAAUACCCCAUACGUCCUUAUGUUGAAAGUGGGGGUUCUUCGGACCUCACGCUAUCUGAUGUGCCUAGGUCGGAUUAGCGAGUUGGUGUGGUAAAGUCCUACCAAGGCGACGAUCCGUAACUGGUCUGAGAGGAUGAUCAGUCACACUGGAACUGAGACACGGUCCAGACUCCUACGGGAGGCAGCAGUGGGGAAUAUUGGACAAUGGGCGAAAGCCUGAUCCAGCAAUGCCGCGUGUGUGAAGAAGGUCUUCGGAUUGUAAAGCACUUUAAGUUGGGAGGAAGGGCAGUAAGUUAAUACCUGGCUGUUUUGACGUUACCAAAAGAAUAAGCACCGGCUAACUUCGUG